UACGUAGGUGACCAGCGUUGUCCGGAAUCACUGGGCUUAAAGGGCGCGUAGGCGGUCGACCAAGUCCGGGGUGAAAUCUUUCGGCUUAACCGGAAAAGUGCCUUGGAUACUGGCCGGCUGGAGGGAGGUAGGGGCAGGUGGAACUUCCAGUGGAGCGGUGAAAUGCGUUGAUAUUGGAAGGAACGCCGGUGGCGAAAGCGACCUGCUGGACCUCUUCUGACGCUGAGGCGCGAAAGCUAGGGGAGCAAACGGG
rnacentral:rRNA from 1 species